GUUGAUAUAGAAGUUGGAGUUCCGUUGGGAUGAUUCAGGUUCAUCUGGCUUCGGUUCUUUGUCACGGCUCUUCUUGAGCUGGAUCUGAUCUUGAUGAACCUCCAAAGGUGUCAAAGAAACAAGCGUGAUCUUCUUUCCUUUAUGAUCAAAGGUGUGUCGGUUUGUGAAGCCAUCAUGCACGGCUCUCUUAUCAAAUUGCCAUGGCCGGCCCAAGAUAAUGUGGCAUGCGUCCAUAGGAAGAACGUUGCAAACGACCUCGUCCUCAUAUCGGCCAAUGGUGUAAUAGGGACAGUGACUUGCUCUUUCACAUACUGUUCUCCAGCCUCGUUUUGCCAUUCCAACCUGAAAGGACGAGAGAGUGGCCGAGUAGCAAGUCCUAGUUUCCUGACAAGAGUGUCACUAGCAACAUUAGUACAAC
rnacentral:lncRNA from 1 species